AUUGGGUUUAAAGGGUGCGCAGGCGGAUUGGUAAGUCAGGGGUGAAAUCCCACAGCUCAACUUGGAACUGCCUUUGAUACUGUCAGUCUAGAGUAUAGUUGAAGUUGGCGGAAUGUGUCAUGUAGCGGUGAAAUGCUUAGAUAUGACACAGAACACCGAUCGCGAAGGCAGCUAGCUAAGCUAUAACUGACGCUCAUGCACGAAAGCGUGGGGAUCAAACAGGAUUAGAUACCCUGGUAGUCCACGCUGUAAACGAUGAUUACUCGAUGUUGGCGAUACACAGUCAGCGUCUGAGCGAAAGCAAUAAGUAAUCCACCUGGGGAGUACGAUCGCAAGAUUGAAACUCAAAGGAAUUGACGGGGGCCCGCACAAGCGGAGGAGCAUGUGGUUUAAUUCGACGCAACGCGAAGAACCUUACCAAGGCUUGACAUCCCUUGACGAUCUGAGAUUAGAUUUUCUUUUCGGAGACAAGGAGACAGGUGGUGCGCGGUUGUCGUCAGCUCGUGUCGUGAGAUGUUGGGUUAAGUCCCGCAACGAGCGCAACCCCUACAGUUAGUUGCCAUCAUUAAGUUGGGCACUCUAGCAGGACUGCCGCGGACAACGCGGAGGAAGGUGGGGAUGACGUCAAAUCAUCAUGCUCCUUAUGUCUUGGGCUACACACGUGCUACAAUGGACAGUACAGAGGGUUGCGAAGCCGCGAGGUGGAGCUAAUCCAAAAAGCUGUUCUCAGUUCGGAUUGCAGGCUGCAACUCGCCUGCAUGAAGUCGGAAUCGCUAGUAAUCGCAGGUCAGCAUACUGCGGUGAAUACGUUCCCGGGUCUUGUACACACCGCCCGUCACACCACGGAAGUUGGUAACACCCGAAGCCGGUGCUCUAACCAUUAUGGAGGAAGCCGUCUAAGGUGGGAUCGAUGACUGGGGUGAAGUCGUAACAAGGUAACC
rnacentral:rRNA from 1 species